GCUGUAGCUCAGGGGUAGAGGAUCUGCUUUGCAUGCAGAAGGUUCCAGGUUCAGUCCCCAGCAUCUGCA